rnacentral:rRNA from 1 species
CGUAGGGUGCGAGCGUUAAUCGGAAUUACUGGGCGUAAAGCGUGCGCAGGCGGUUCGUUGUGUCGGUGGUGAAAGCCCCGGGCUUAACCUGGGAGUGGCCAUGGAAACUGGCGAACUGGAGUGUGGCAGAGGGGGGUGGAAUUCCGCGUGUAGCAGUGAAAUGCGUAGAGAUGCGGAGGAACACCGAUGGCGAAGGCAGCCCCCUGGGCUAGCACUGACGCUCAGGCACGAAAGCGUGGGGAGCAAACAGGAUUAGAUACCCUGGUAGUCCACGCCCUAAACCAUGUCAACUGGGUGUUCGGGAAGCGAUUUCUGAGUACCGUAGCUAACGCGUGAAGUUGACCGCCUGGGGAGUACGGCCGCAAGGUUA